rnacentral:tRNA from 1 species
AAGAGAACAAUGACAAAGAAAAAGCUUCUAACUUAACUCUUGAGCGGUUAAAUUCCGUUCUUUUCUUU